rnacentral:misc_RNA from 1 species
GGUAAACAUUCAUGAAAUGCAUUUAUUCAAGUAAGAGAAAAGGGGAAUGAAAGUUUUGACAAUAAGGCGAAAGCAUCAUAGAAUAACACUUGAUUUGAGUCUUUCUCCCAUCAACCUAUAUGUUCUAGGAACAAUAAUAUUUCUAUAAGAAGCAUCACCAGAAAAUUAUUCUUUAAACAUACCCCUUUACUCUAAACCAAGAACUACUACUCUUCAAUCUUAUCCUUUGCGGCAUCGAUCCUGUCGGUCAUGUACUCAAGAUUUUCCUUCAACAAAUGGCUAAUGUCAUUCAUAUUCAUCAAAGAAUUCAAAGGGUCCAAAUUCUCACCAGUGAUGCACUUAGCAUAAAUAAGUUCCAACUCAAUUCUUUCGUUUUUCUUCCUUUGCUUCUCCAAUUUCUCGUUCAACUUGGAUAUGUUUCUAGUAAGAAAAGAUUCCUGGUCCAUCAUGUACUUACUUUGCUUCUUUGGAGGCAAUCUCUUGAAUUUUUCCAGCACAGAAACAGCUUCUGGAUGAGAAGGCCAAAUAUCUGGACUGGAAUUAUAAGCACUGAAAAUGAUUGCACAUGCAAUAACUCCACAAAGAGUAGUCAGUUCCAUGAGCUUCUUUAGCAGACCAGCCCUCCUUUUUUUGAAUGUCAAUUUCCUCCAAGCACCCAAAGGAGCCUCACCAAAUUGGUGCUCAUCCUCAAAUCAGCUAGUCUUCUAGAGCCCUAAAUGAAACAACACAGGCAAAAUGCAUUAAAAUUGGCUUUCAAGCUGUGAUCUUUUGAACUUCACUAUGCUUUUGAAGUAUCUGAAUUAAUAAAGAAAGUGAAACCACUCACUUUCAUGAGAAGUAGAUCAACUUAGAUUGAGCUUUUUCAUGACAAAAAAAAACUAAAUCACUGAAGUUUAUAACACAUACCUACGCCAGCAAUGCAUCCAAGCAUGGGUCUGAAAUUGUUAAAAUGGCAGUCAACGAUCACACUUCUUGCUGAUAGUGAUGAAGGGUUUGGAAAUAUAACCAGGCUUUCUGCAAAUGGUACAAUAACUAGGUAACAUAGAAGGGAAGCCACUUCUGAUCUCUUUCUAUAAAUUAAGAAUUCCAACAUCGUUUUUACAAUAGUGAUCCAUUUCUCAUCACUUCCAGAUUCCGCUUCAACUUGGCCCACUUCCCAAGCCAAUGGUAAGUUGCUAACCAUGGAUUCUUCUAAUUUAAGGAUUUUUCCACCUUACUCGUUAUUUUGCAACAAACAAAAUUGUUUCAGGGAUCAUUACUACAAUUACCAGUAAUCUUUACAAGAACAAGAGCCUUCUCUAAAAUGAUGGAGACGAAGUGGAUCUCUAAGAAUUAUUUCUCUCUUUUCCACUUUUGACAAGAGCUUCAUUGCUGUAUGACAAUCAUGGAAGACUCAAAUUUUUCAUCACCUUCAUAGGACCUGAAGUUGGCAAACUGAUAAUUCCAAAAGUCAGUUUGAAUGAAUCCAGCAAUCAUGGCAUUAUACAGCACAACAUUUUGGUUAGGAAUCAAUCUGAAAAUUUGGAUUGCAUGUUUUAGCAUGCAUAUCACCCAAUGCAGUCCUAGCGACAACAUCCAAAUCCAGUCCAAGUUUGACAGUGCAUUCAUGAAGUGUUUUAUCAUAUUCUAUCAUGUUAAUGAGAUUUGAACAACAAGCCUUUAAGGCACUUCCAAGAGUGAAAAUUCAAGCUUAAUCCAGUUUGAUGCAUCUCUAUUAACACUUCCAGUGGUCCCUCAUAUGCACCAAUUCUGACACCCUAGCAAUCAAAGAAUUCCAAGAAACAGUAUCCAACCCAUCAGAAGACUGAAACAAAAGCCUUGCCUGAUCAACCCUCUCACAUUUGCAAUACACAUCAAUAAACAAAUUGGUCAGAAGCACUCGUUGAGCCAAACCGCAAACAACAGCGACUCCACGAAUCACUUUACACAUUCCAAUAUCCACUGUUUGACAACAAGCGCUUAGCACUCCCACAUAACUAAACUCAUCGAGCUUUGAACAAGCCACUCUAGCUUCAUUAAACAAACCAAAGGCCUUUUCAUAAGAACCCAUCUCGCAUAUCCAAAAAUCAAAAGAUUAUAAGAAAUCACACAACGGUCAGGCAUUCAAUCAAACAUGUUUUGAGCAAUACCCAUCUCGCCAUAUGCACCAUACAAAUUAAGAAUAUUGUUGAGCAAGAAGAGGCAGCCCAUGUGGGCAUGAGUAAGCUUGCCAUGGAUUAAAGGCCCAGAUUUGGCAGAAAAUUGAACCAGUUUAGUAAAGGCAACCGAGUCCGAAGAGAAAAUUGGGGGGCAUGAUUGAGAAAGCUGGGGUGAUACCGUUAAAGUUGAGGGAAUGCAGUGAAAGAUGUUUUAGAUUGUGUGAAUGGAACAAGAA